UAAGGAAUAUUGGUCAAUGGACGCAAGUCUGAACCAGCCAUGCCGCGUGGAGGAUGAAGGUCCUCUGGAUUGUAAACUUCUUUUAUUUGGGAAGAAAUCCAUGAAUUCUUUCGUGGUUGACGGUACCAGAUGAAUAAGCACCGGCUAACUCCGUGCCAGCAGCCGCGGUAAUACGGAGGGUGCAAGCGUUAUCCGGAUUUACUGGGUUUAAAGGGUGUGUGGGCGGAUAGGUAAGUCAGUGGUGAAAUCCUGCAGCUUAACUGCAGAACUGCCGUUGAUACUAUCUAUCUUGAAUGCCGUAGAGGUUAGCGGAAUAUGUCAUGUAGCGGUGAAAUGCUUAGAGAUGACAUAGAACACCAAUUGCGAAGGCAGCUAACUAUACGGUGAUUGACGCUGAUGCACGAAAGCGUGGGGAUCAAACAG
rnacentral:rRNA from 1 species